UGUGGAGCGGCUGCAGCUCCUUCACCGGCCUGGUGGUGGGUGUGUUCGUACUCUACGAGGUGCACACCCGCAGGGUCAUGUACAGCAUCGUCUACACCCGCCCGUGCGCCGGCGCCGCCCUCUGUAUCCAGUCCUACCUGGUGCAGCGUCCCAGGCUGCAGUUGAGCGUCUACACCACCACGCGUUCCCACCUGGGUGUGGAGAACAACACUGACCUGGUCUUGAACGUGAAAGUCUUCGACAUGGAGUCCAAAUUUGAGAGGAUGGUCAAUGUUUCUGUACCAAAGAAAACACGAAACAAUGGGACGCUGUAUGCCUACAUCUUCCUCCACCAUGCCGGGAUUCUGCCGUGGCACGAUGGGAGGCAGGUGCACCUGGUCAGUGCUCUGACCACCUACAUGGUCCCCAAACCAGAACAGGUCAACCUGCUCAUGUGGGAGUCUGCAGAGCAGCAGAUCGAAGCCGAGAAGCCCACGAGCGCCCUGGACGAGCCGGUUUCCCACUGGAGACCGAGGCUGAUGCUGAAUGUGAUGGUGGACAACUUCGUCUUCGACGGGACAUCCCUGCCUACCAAUGUGCACUGCUACAAGAAGAUGGUCCAGCUAUGGAAGACCGUGUAUUACCUGCCCAUCCUGCUCAUCGACCAGCUGAGCAACUACGUGGAGGACUUGAUGGUCAUCAGCCACUCCACCUCCAAGCUGCCCCUCACCGUGUCCCACGUCAAGGUCUCGUUAGGCCGCUUGUGCUUCUGGAUCCACAUGCAGGAUGCCGUACAUUCGCUGCAGCAGCACGGGUUUUCAGAGAAAGAUGCUGAUGAGGUGACUUCUGGGCCUUUAAAAAUGACAUCAGCUUCUGGAAGAAGAAGAAAAGCAUGAUCGGCAAGUCCACCAAGGCAGUCCUCUGGUGCUGCUUCAGCACGGGGGUCAUCUUCCUGUUCCUGCUAGACGAGCAGACAAGCCUGCUGGUGCUCGUCCAUGCUGGCAUUGACACUGCCAUCGAGCUCUGGAAAGUGAAGAAGGCCUUGAGAUGACCGUCCUCUGGAGAGGCCUAAGACCACAGCUCCAGUUUGGUGCAUCCAGCGAGUCUGAGAGGAAGACCAAGGAGUACGACACGCAGGCCAUGAAGUUCCUGUCAUACCUGCGCUACCUGCUGUGCAUGGGGGCGCUGUCUACUCUGUCCUGAACGUCAGGUACAAGAGCUGGCAUUCAUGGCUGAUCAGCAGCUUUGUCAACAGCUCCUAUGCCUUCCGCUUCCUCUUCAUGCUGCCCCAGUUCUUUGUGAACUACAAGAUGAAGUCGGUGGUGCAUUUGCCCUGGAAGGCCUUCACCUACAAGGCGUUCAACACUUUCAUCGACGAUGUGUUCACCUUCAUCAUCAGCAUGCUCACGUCUCACCAGCUGGCCUGCUUCCAGGACGCCAUGGUCUUUCUGGCCUAUCUGUAA